rnacentral:rRNA from 1 species
GGAUCGUCGAAGAUGGUUACUCUACAUCUGGACCUCACCCGUUUGUUGCUGCCAAAGCGGUUUUCCCCUUUGCCACGCACGCACGCAUACGUUCCCGUUCCCGUCCAAGCCAAUCGCCCCGCGCUCCGACGCACAUCGCCGACGACGCGCGCGGAGCCAUCUGCAGAGACCGUCGCCGCCGGACGGGGCUGCUGGUCAGGCACGCACCCGGAGAGCAAGCGGGCUCAGAACCGGGCGCGAGCCCGCCACGGCGUUGCUCCGCCACUACUGCUUCGUGCUAGGUUCUAUGCUAAUGGAUAUACACUGUCCGGUUCAUCUCUUCCAGCUACGACCCCAAGCCGGCAUCACCCUAUGCAUCACGGAGGAAACGCCGAAGCCUUCGCUACUAUAUCCCCCCCAGCCGAUCGGGGGGAUCCAACCAACAUGGACAAGUAAAAUCAUGGAUUUCAUCGGAGGUCGCUCGCAUUGGUUAAGGAAGGUGCUCCGCAUGCAGAUGGCCAC